rnacentral:rRNA from 1 species
AAUAAACGUUGGCGGCGUGCUUAACACCUGCAAGUCGAGCGAGAAAGGUCUUCGGACUGAGUACAGCGGCAAACGGGUGAGUAACACGUGGGAAUCUACCUUUUAGUGAAGAAUACCCUCGAGAAAUCGAGGUUAAUACUGCAUACGUCUCGAAAGAGAGAAAGAUGGCCUCUUUGCUGUCGCUGAAAAGAUGAGCCUGCGUACUAUUAGCUAGUUGGUAGGGUAAAGGCCUACAAGGCUAUGAUGGUUAGCCGGCCUGAGAGGGUGUACGGCCACACUGGAACUUAGACACGGUCCAGACUCCUACGGGAGGCAGCAGUGAGGAAUAUUGCGCAAUGGGCGAAAGCCUGACGCAGCGACGCCGCGUGGAGGAUGAAGGUCUUAGGAUUGUAAACUUCUGUUAAGCGGGAAGAAAGACGAAGUGUUAAUACCACUUUAUGAUGACGGUACCGCUAAAGAAAGACACCGGCUAAACUUCGUAGCCAGCAGCCGCGGUAAU